rnacentral:snRNA from 1 species
GUGCUCGCUUCGGCAGCACAUAUACUAAAAUUGGAACGAUACAGAGAAGAUUAGCAUGGCCCCUGCUCAAGGAUGACAUGCAAAUUCAUGAAGCAUUCCAUAUUUUU